GCCAGAGCCUGCGUGAUGGUCACGAGUUUGGCUAACUUUUCAUCUCGCAUCUCCUCAAGUACACCCAGCAGACCAGCUUUAAAGAACACCUGAAUUCAAGAGAUUCACGCAAUUCCUCACAAAAGCUCAAGAGGACUGAAGGUCAGUAAAUAUCCUCUGAUCCCCAAGCCAAUCGCCUCUACAGCCAGGAGUUUGAGAGUGGAUGCCAGUGAGCUAUCUGCCCCUGGGGGACAAAGACCAGCUCUACCGGCGCUGCUUGACCUCAGCAGUUUCUGUCAGGUUUGCCUCCUAACUCACUAGAGCACCAGAACCAAUGUGAGGCUCCUUGUGGAAUCCCAAUGAAGAUCUGAAGACACAGGGUGGUGUGCAGGGGAGUCAUACUCCUGUGACUGUGUGACUUCCCCCGCAAACCAUGUGAUAGUGCCUUUACCAGAGGAGACCCUCAGGGACCCCUGCGCUCCCCUGACUGUGUGUCUCACCCUGCACACUACACAGCCAUGCCUUUACCAGAGGAGACACUCGGGGACCCCUGCGCUCCCCUGACUGUGUGACUCCCCCUGCACGCCACACCUGCGCUCCCCUGACUGUGUGACUCCCCCUACACACCCUGCCUUGAAAGUAGACUGCAAUGCAGCCGCUUCCAUUACUACUUAAAACGACAUCAGUGUACAAGUACAACAGACAAGCUGAUUAAUCUGACUCACUCUUUACUGUUCUGCGGAUAUGUUUCAUCGUUGCUAUUGACACCAGCACAGCUAGCUCGGAUGAAACACACACAGAAUGAAGCAACAUUUCCAUCGCUCUCGUUACAGAACGUCACUAAAAACACACAAUGCUUACAGUAGAAAGGCACGGAGUUAGAAUGUGGAAGCCUCAGCACCAAAAAAGCUGCCUGAACGGCAAUACAUCACGCGGAGGACGUCUCUUAUUUUUCAUAAGAGAGAAGUCAUCUCGUGCAAGAGGCUUCCGGCCCCACAAACGCCCCAAACGAUCUGUGCAUUAAACCAAAGUGAAACAGCACAGCCUCAACACUGCUCAACAGAUACAGACAGUUACCCUCCAGACACUUACCAGAGUAUGGAUGUUCUAGCACCGGUGCUGGAGGCUCGCUCGGGCUCUGCUUUUAUCAGGAGCUUUUCUGCCACUCCAGCAAAACUGCCAGCUGUAUUUGGUCAUGUAGCUUUGCUCCUAUAUUGCAUUAUAGAUAUCAGUUCCACUUUGUCAGGAGGCUAGCAUAUGGCAUUCCAUAAUCUAUUAGUGACAUGUGCUGAUGUUGUAUAACUAGUUACAGUGCCUAAUGUUGUCUUGCUGUCAGCAAACUCAAUGUAUAGACUUUGAAUGUGAUUUGAUAGACUGGUCAGAUUGGAUCAAACUGCAACUAAAGUCUGCAGGACUGUGGCUGCCAUACAACUCCUGCAGACCUUCACUGUAACCGGGGAGUCUGAAUUGUGUUUCCCAUUAUGAUUUUGCACACUGAUUGGUUUCUUUCUUUUUACACAUUUAUAUCUUGAUUUUCAUACAAUGCUACCAAGGUAUUUUAGCAGUUUCCCCUCCAUGCUUUUUCCACAGUUAUACUAUACAUUUAUUGCAGUUUACUAUGGGUUUUUUUUAAUAUACAUUUUAACACACCUCGCCGCGAAAACCUUAAGAAAAGUUUAUAAUAAGGGUCUUGACAACAAAAACUUAGAGAAUUUAAAUAAAAAAAGCAAUCGAGAAUUGAAGAGGUUACCAUGGCAAGCUGAUAACAGUGUGUUUGUGAACUGUGCCGCCUCCACAAAAAAUAAAAACACACACACAAAUGUAGACUUUGCUGCUAAAGUACGGAGCCGACGUUUCGA